rnacentral:lncRNA from 1 species
CUAAAUCUGAAGUAGCAUCUACCAAUAUUGAGGCUAAUGAGGUGGACAAUACAGUUGGUUUACCUGUAGCAGCAGUUGUAGAGGGACCUAGCAUAAUUACUGAAGUAGGAUCUACCAAUAUUGAGGCUAAUGAGAUGGACAAUACAGUUGGUUUACCUGUAGCAGCAGCUGUAGAGGGUCCUAGUACAAGUAGCCCGGGAACUCCGUUGCCAAGUCUGGGUGUUUCAUUAUUGGAAUCAAUGAGGAGGAAAAGAAGUAGGUCAAGCAUAAAGAAAAUAUCUCAAACUGAAAAUAGUCUUG